UUAAUCAGAGUUGACUGCAUGCAAUUCUUCUUUACUUAAAUUAUUUGAUAUAUUUUACAACCCUGCCAAAGUUUGCUGUGAUUUAUCUUUUAUUUUUUCCUUUUAAACAAGCCCAUCUCACACAAAGCACCAGCUCUUUCUUAUCAAACGAAUGGAGAGGAAGCAUGCAGAGAGCCCUUCCCCCAGAAAAUGUCAUGGAGGCCACAGCUACCAUAAAAUGGUCCAUUCCUGCAGUAAAUCUUGCAGUGCAGUUUGUAUCACUUGGGGAGGCCAGGCAAAACUCACUGGCAACCAGGAGAGAGAGAGAGAGGGAGAGAGAGAGAGAGGAAUCAUCCUUAUCUGAAAUCUGCUUGACUGCUUGCAGAA